AUUGAACGCUGGCGGCAGGCCUAACACAUGCAAGUCGAGCGGAUGAAGGGAGCUUGCUCCUGGAUUCAGUGGCGGACGGGUGAGUAAUGCCUAGGAAUCUGCCUGGCAGUGGGGGAUAACGUCCGGAAACGGGCGCUAAUACCGCACACGUCCUGAGGGAGAAAGCGGGGGAUCAUCGGACAUCACGCUAUCAGCUGAGCCUAGGUCGGAUUAGCUAGUUGGUGGGGUAAAGGCCUACCAAGGCGACGAUCCGUAACUGGUCUGAGAGGAUGAUCAGUCACACUGGAACUGAGACACGGUCCAGACUCCUACGGGAGGCAGCAGUGGGGAAUAUUGGACAAAGGGCGAAAGCCUGAUCCAGCCAUGCCGCGUGUGUGAAGAAGGUCUUCGGAUUGUAAAGCACUUUAAGUUGGGAGGAAGGGCAGUAAGUUAAUACCUUGCUGUUUUGACGUUACCUACAGAGUAAGCACCGGCUAACUUCGUG
rnacentral:rRNA from 1 species